CCCCAGACUCCUACGGGAGGCAGCAGUGGGGAAUAUUGCACAAUGGGGGAAACCCUGAUGCAGCGACGCCGCGUGAGCGAUGAAGUAUUUCGGUAUGUAAAGCUCUAUCAGCAGGGAAGAAAAUGACGGUACCUGACUAAGAAGCCCCGGCUAACUACGUGCCAGCAGCCGCGGUAAUACGUAGGGGGCAAGCGUUAUCCGGAUUUACUGGGUGUAAAGGGAGCGUAGACGGCUGUGCAAGCCAGAUGUGAAAGCCCGGGGCUCAACCCCGGGACUGCAUUUGGAACUGUGUGGCUGGAGUGUCGGAGAGGCAGGCGGAAUUCCUAGUGUAGCGGUGAAAUGCGUAGAUAUUAGGAGGAACACCAGUGGCGAAGGCGGCCUGCUGGACGAUGACUGACGUUGAGGCUCGAAAGCGUGGGGAGCAAACAGGAUUAGAUACCCUUGUAAC
rnacentral:rRNA from 1 species